rnacentral:lncRNA from 10 species
CAUUUCCAGGCUGGUCUCUGUGGUUUUUAUUAGUGUUUCCUGGGACCCAUCAAACAAAUAAACAUAGCUUAAAGGGAAAGAUUUCUGAUUUUUUUUAAAUAGUAGCAAUAGAGUUGUUUCCACAAAUUGUCAACCCAGGAGCCAGAUGGAAAGAAAAACAAGAAUUAUGCAGAUAACUACAGAAAGAUUAAUCCCAAUUUAGUUAAACUUGUGAAGGCUUGUACGUUUCAGAGGUUCAUAAGACACAGUCUCAACAGGAGUUUUUUUUAAUAAAUGCUCUAUCUCUAGUUCCAGAAACUGAAUUCCAAGAAGCUACACUGAGGAUAAUUCAGCUCUGAUAUUGUGAUUACUGUGAUGUUCUUUCAUUCAUACAGUAAGUAUCUGCCCAAUACGUAACUACCGAGAUCUAUUGCUUCCUACAUAAUUAGACAAGCUCCUCACACAUAUGGGCCCAUGCCGUGCACAUAGCAGGCACUCAACAAGUGUUUGCUUAACUACAGAAGAAUAAUAUAAUUGCCUUCCUUCUUAACUGUUUUACCUUUUUCUAUACUUGAUAUAUUUGAAAAACAACAUGCUUGCAAAACUAAAAUCUAACAUGCAUUACUAACUUUAUCAAAAGAUCCCUCAGUAUUUUUCAAAAAGGAAAAAAAUAAUAAAAACCAAUCCCCCAAAUACUAAAACUUAGAACUGCUUUACACUUAAAUAGCAAUUUACAUCAUAUUAACAUAUUCAUAAUCUUCAUUGGUUAAAACAGGUCAAAGGUUUAUUACUGGCUUCUCAUACCAGAUAAGUCUCACAGUUCCCAAUAAGGCAACAGAAUCCUCAUCCAACAUAUAUUGACUUGUGGAACCCAACGGCCUGUUUUGGUUUCAUUUCAGCGCAAGUAGAAGGCAAAAUAAAGAGUCUCACAGUAAAAUGUUCAUAGUAGAUAAUAUGUCCUUGAAGGUUGUGCCGUUGUGCUCUUAUUCCACUGAAGAAAUGAUUCACAUCCCAAUUAUAGAUAUGGUCUCCCAAUCAGAGGAGUCUUUUAGAAGACAUUCAUUCAUUCAUUGAACAAAUAUGUGUUGUGUACUUGUCCCAUGCUAGGUAACAGGAAAAUAAUAGUGAUUGAUAAGACAUAGUCCCUGUCCUCAAAGAGCUAACAGUCUAGCAAGGCAGGAACUUUGAGAAAAGACCAAUGUGUUCAAAGGAAAACUCACAACCUGGGUCUCCCUUCUCAGAUGGCACAUUCAAGAAACUGUUGCUUAUGCCCCUGGGAGCCAGAGCCUUACUUAAGUCUUACCAAGUCAAAUAUCUAUCAGCCUCAGAUGAUUUGAGCCUGGUAAAGUCUUAGCAAUAGAUUUGCUGCCUCAUGUUCCCAUGAAAACCUAAUAAGAGAGAGCCCUUUCAACUCAGGCAUACGGGGGGUUUAAGGAUAACAUGUUUAGUGACCAUGUGGACAUUCAGCACAGGUGAGCUUCUCAACUCUUUCAGUAACUGUUACUUGACAACACUAAGUUAAACCUUUACAGAAGUGACCAAGCCAGGCAGAAAUAAAAAUGGAUUUGGUU